rnacentral:rRNA from 1 species
UUGAUUGAUGGUGCUUGCACCUGAUUGAUUUUGGUCGCCAACGAGUGGCGGACGGGUGAGUAACACGUAGGUAACCUGCCCAGAAGCGGGGGACAACAUUUGGAAACAGAUGCUAAUACCGCAUAACAGCGUUGUUCGCAUGAACAACGCUUAAAAGAUGGCUUCUCGCUAUCACUUCUGGAUGGACCUGCGGUGCAUUAGCUUGUUGGUGGGGUAAUGGCCUACCAAGGCGAUGAUGCAUAGCCGAGUUGAGAGACUGAUCGGCCACAAUGGGACUGAGACACGGCCCAUACUCCUACGGGAGGCAGCAGUAGGGAAUCUUCCACAAUGGGCGCAAGCCUGAUGGAGCAACACCGCGUGAGUGAAGAAGGGUUUCGGCUCGUAAAGCUCUGUUGUUAAAGAAGAACACGUAUGAGAGUAACUGUUCAUACGUUGACGGUAUUUAACCAGAAAGUCACGGCUAACUACGUGCCAGCAGCCGCGGUAAUACGUAGGUGGCAAGCGUUAUCCGGAUUUAUUGGGCGUAAAGAGAGUGCAGGCGGUUUUCUAAGUCUGAUGUGAAAGCCUUCGGCUUAACCGGAGAAGUGCAUCGGAAACUGGAUAACUUGAGUGCAGAAGAGGGUAGUGGAACUCCAUGUGUAGCGGUGGAAUGCGUAGAUAUAUGGAAGAACACCAGUGGCGAAGGCGGCUACCUGGUCUGCAACUGACGCUGAGACUCGAAAGCAUGGGUAGCGAACAGGAUUAGAUACCCUGGUAGUCCAUGCCGUAAACGAUGAGUGCUAGGUGUUGGAGGGUUUCCGCCCUUCAGUGCCGGAGCUAACGCAUUAAGCACUCCGCCUGGGGAGUACGACCGCAAGGUUGAAACUCAAAGGAAUUGACGGGGGCCCGCACAAGCGGUGGAGCAUGUGGUUUAAUUCGAAGCUACGCGAAGAACCUUACCAGGUCUUGACAUCUUGCGCCAACCCUAGAGAUAGGGCGUUUCCUUCGGGAACGCAAUGACAGGUGGUGCAUGGUCGUCGUCAGCUCGUGUCGUGAGAUGUUGGGUUAAGUCCCGCAACGAGCGCAACCCUUGUUACUAGUUGCCAGCAUUAAGUUGGGCACUCUAGUGAGACUGCCGGUGACAAACCGGAGGAAGGUGGGGACGACGUCAGAUCAUCAUGCCCCUUAUGACCUGGGCUACACACGUGCUACAAUGGACGGUACAACGAGUCGCGAACUCGCGAGGGCAAGCAAAUCUCUUAAAACCGUUCUCAGUUCGGACUGCAGGCUGCAACUCGCCUGCACGAAGUCGGAAUCGCUAGUAAUCGCGGAUCAGCAUGCCGCGGUGAAUACGUUCCCGGGCCUUGUACACACCGCCCGUCACACCAUGAGAGUUUGUAACACCCAAAGUCGGUGGGGUAACCUUUAGGAGCC